rnacentral:rRNA from 1 species
UGGGGAAUAUUGCGCAAUGGAGGAAACUCUGACGCAGCCAUGCCGCGUGAGUGAAGAAGGCCUUAGGGUUGUAAAACUCUUUCGCUAGGGAAGAUAAUGACGGUACCUAGUAAAGAAGCCCCGGCCAACUCCGUG